CCUACGGGUGGCAGCAGUGAGGAAUAUUGGUCAAUGGACGAGAGUCUGAACCAGCCAAGUAGCGUGAAGGAUGACUGCCCUAUGGGUUGUAAACUUCUUUUAUAUGGGAAUAAAACGUUCCACGUGUGGGAUUUUGUAUGUACCAUAUGAAUAAGGAUCGGCUAACUCCGUGCCAGCAGCCGCGGUAAUACGGAGGAUCCGAGCGUUAUCCGGAUUUAUUGGGUUUAAAGGGAGCGUAGGUGGAUUGUUAAGUCAGUUGUGAAAGUUUGCGGGUCAACCGUAAAAUUGCAGUUGAAACUGGCAGUCUUGAGUACAGUAGAGGUGGGCGGAAUUCGUGGUGUAGCGGUGAAAUGCUUAGAUAUCACGAAGAACUCCGAUUGCGAAGGCAGUUCACUGGACUGCAACUGACACUGAGGCUCGAAAGUGUGGGUAUCAAACAGGAUUAGAUACCCCAGUAGUC
rnacentral:rRNA from 1 species